AUCUCUAUCCCAAAAUAGUUCUUAUUUAAUUCACCAGUAAUUAAAAUACUACACUAUAUUCCGCUCCUUUUGUCCACUUGUCUUCCAUAUUGCUCUACUUUCACUUGAGGACACCUUAAAGGUGCUGCUUCCCUGCACCCCCUUUUAUAUAGUUUAUAUCCUUAUUGUACUUUCUGUCCCUCACUUUAACACAAGACCUUACAUUCUGAUUCCCUGGUUUGGGAACAUUCACAGUCUAUAUAACAUAUUGAUUCUGAUCAUUGAAUCAACAAAAGGUAUGCCAUUAAACAUUAGUGCUCUAUCACACCCAGUAAGUGAAAGUCGAAAUGUUUCCACUGACGUGUCUGGUGUUAAUAUGUUUUUGUGCUGACCGUUAUAAAUCACUGAUAAAGAGCUUCUUGUGCACACCAGUGAGAGAUGGAGGUCCAUGUCUGAAUAACCUUUUUAGACCAUACGAGAAACAUAGCCAUUCCAAAAUAUGCAGUAUUGUCUUAACAUCUAAACAUACACCAGGAUAAUAUCUAAAAAAGACUUAUAUCACUAAUCAUUCUGCCGUCACACACAGGCCUAUAAUGAAUCAUUAAAGGACCACUAUAGUGCCAGGAAAACAUACUCGUUUUCCUGGCACUAUAGUGCCCUGAGGGUGCCCCCACCCUCAGGGACCCCCUCCCGCCCGGCUCUGGAAAGGGGAAAGGGGUUUAAACUUACCUUUUUCCAGCGCUGGGCGGAGAGCUC